GAGGCUGUAGCUCAGUCGGUAGAGCAACGGACUUUUAAUCCGUAGGUCUGGGGUUCGAGCCCCCACAGCCUCA
rnacentral:tRNA from 1 species